rnacentral:rRNA from 1 species
GACGAACGCUGGCGGCGUGCCUAAUACAUGCAAGUAGAACGCUGAAGGAGGAGCUUGCUCUUCUGGAUGAGUUGCGAACGGGUGAGUAACGCGUAGGUAACCUGCCUGGUAGCGGGGGAUAACUAUUGGAAACGAUAGCUAAUACCGCAUAAGAGUAGAUGUUGCAUGACAUUUACUUAAAAGGUGCAAUUGCAUCACUACCAGAUGGACCUGCGUUGUAUUAGCUAGUUGGUGGGGUAACGGCUUACCAAGGCGACGAUACAUAGCCGACCUGAGAGGGUGAUCGGCCACACUGGGACUGAGACACGGCCCAGACUCCUACGGGAGGCAGCAGUAGGGAAUCUUCGGCAAUGGACGGAAGUCUGACCGAGCAACGCCGCGGGAGUGAAGAAGGUUUUCGGAUCGGAAAGCUCGGUUGUAAGAGAAGAACGAGUGUGAGAGUGGAAAGUUCACACUGUGACGGUAUCUUACCAGAAAGGGACGGCUAACUACGUG